UACAGAGGUCCCAAGCGUUGUUCGGAAUUACUGGGCGUAAAGCGCGUGUAGGCUGCUCUGCAAGUCGGAUGUGAAAGCCCUGGGCUCAACCUAGGAAGUGCACUCGAAACUGCGGAGCUUGAGUCUCGGAGAGGAUCGCGGAAUUCUCGGUGUAGAGGUGAAAUUCGUAGAUAUCGGGAGGAACACCGGUGGCGAAGGCGGCGAUCUGGACGAUGACUGACGCUGAGACGCGAAAGCGUGGGGAGCAAACAGG
rnacentral:rRNA from 1 species